AUUGAACGCUGGCGGCAUGCCUUACACAUGCAAGUCGAACGGCAGCGGGGACUUCGGUCCGCCGGCGAGUGGCGAACGGGUGAGUAAUGUAUCGGAACGUACCAUUCAGCGGGGGAUGACUACCCGAAAGGAUAGCCAAUACCGCAUAUUCUGUGAGCAGGAAAGCAGGGGAUCGCAAGACCUUGCGCUGAUUGAGCGGCCGAUAUCAGAUUAGCUAGUUGGUGAGGUAACGGCUCACCAAGGCUACGAUCUGUAGCGGGUCUGAGAGGAUGAUCCGCCACACUGGGACUGAGACACGGCCCAGACUCCUACGGGAGGCAGCAGUGGGGAAUUUUGGACAAUGGGCGCAAGCCUGAUCCAGCCAUGCCGCGUGAGUGAAGAAGGCCUUCGGGUUGUAAAGCUCUUUCGGCCGGGAAGAAAUCGCAUCAGCUAAUACCUGGUGUGGAUGACGGUACCGGAAUAAGAAGCACCGGCUAACUACGUGCCAGCAGCCGCGGUAAGAC
rnacentral:rRNA from 1 species